rnacentral:rRNA from 1 species
GAUAAGCGCUGAAAGCAUCUAAGCGCGAAGCGAGCCCUGAGAUGAGUCUUCCCUGACAGUUUAAGUAUCCUAAAGGGUUGUUCGAGACUAGAACGUUGAUAGGCAGGGUGUGUAAGCGCUGUGAGGCGUUGAGCUAACCUGUACUAAUUGCCCGUGAGGCUUAACCAU